UACGUAGGGACCAAGCGUUGUUCGGAUUUACUGGGCGUAAAGAGCUCGUAGGCGGUUUGUCGCGUCUGCUGUGAAAUCCCAGGGCUUAACCCUGGGCCUGCAGUGGGUACGGGCAAACUAGAGUGCGGUAGGGGAGAUCGGAAUUCCUGGUGUAGCGGUGAAAUGCGCAGAUAUCAGGAGGAACACCGGUGGCGAAGGCGGAUCUCUGGGCCGUAACUGACGCUGAGGAGCGAAAGCCAGGGGAGCAAACGGG
rnacentral:rRNA from 1 species